GCCAGAGUGUUAUUUUUUUAAUUAUUAUUAUUUAUUAUGUUUUUUAGGUGAUAUGCCUUUCUCCACCUGGAUGUCCAGAGGAGUCCUUCUUUAGGCUUGAAGUUUAGUGAUUCACCAGGAUAUGUCUUGAUUUGAUCUUGGGAUGUGUUCUGGCUUUUUCAAAAUGUACUUUCAAGCUUUUAAUUCAGGAAACCUUUCUCCCAUAGGCCUGUAAAUUGUUGUUGCUCUCCUUUUGGUGUCUCUUCUGCAGAGCAACAAUGAUGCAUAUGUGGGUGGAUGCACAGGGGGACAUGUUUUUGUCAUAGGUGCUGUAGGCUGUGACCCACUGAAGCUGUUACCCUCCCUACUCUACACUCUCUUCUGGAAGUUUCUCCAGGCCAGGGUCUGUCUGCCCAGGAGCCCUGGAAAUGGGGGCAGAGAUAGAAGAAAACCCUCUGGGCUGUACCACAGGUUCCCACAAUUUCCUCUGCACCUUGCAACUCCCAUAUAUUGGGCCUUUCUGCAUGCUAUCUUGGCCUUUAGAGAAAUCCGAUCUUGCCCAACUUCUGAGGUUUGUCAGUUUUCAAUAUUCUUCCAAAUUCCCCUGCAUUUUCUAUUAUGUGGUUUAUAGUGCUGGCUGUUUAUUUAUUUUAAUAAAGGUUGAUAUUUCAUCUCUUCCUACAAGAAAAAUCCCUUUUCUUUUUUGCAUUUAGCUGGUGAUCUGUGGGAGGAGGUAGAAGGCCUCAGAAACAACUUUGCUUUCCUCUACCUUUCUUUCUUGGCUGAGUCCAGGAUGUGGUUUAAUUUGAUGCACAAUUAAUUGGCCUAUUUUCCCCUCUUUUCCCAGAACAUGGCUAACGGGGGGUGCACAUGACCAAUAAGUGCCUGGCUCUCUGUCCCCACUGCCCUGGUUCCUGUAGCUGUACCAACUCAGUUCUGAGGCUCCCAUGGGCCAACUCCAUUAGAGGGGAAUCUCUUUCAGCCGAACCUUCUCAGCUUGUGUCUCUGGGAAGGCUGUUUUAUUGGCAAAUGAUGAAUGAGAAAAGAGUCUGAAACUACCAAACCCAUUGACCUGGUUCUUUGGGUGAAAGCCAUCAUUUCAUGUACUAUUAUUUGCAUAUCUGUGCUUUAUUGGAAAACAGGGAAUGUUGGCUAGAAGUACUUCAAGGUGGGCCAAACCUCCCUUCUUCAGUUAAUUUCAAGCCAUGACAUCAUAAUAGAUGUGGCACCUGACCACUUCAGAGUGAAGGCCUUUCAGUCUCCAGAAUCGCCCCACCUUUAACCCAUUUAGUAGGAUUGUGCCCAACAGGAGGGGUAUCCUCUGCACUUGGGAGAAAGGAAAGUUGAGAGCACAGAGGUGGGCGUCACUGACCCACCUUGUUUGUACCAAAAGCCAUGAAACAGGCCACGGGCUGGAAACGACCCGGUUCUCUAUCUAUGGAAACGCCUCAACGCCUUCCCCAGUGUCUCCAGCCUCCCUUGGUAACCAGAGGCUAAAGUUACAAAUGCAGCUGUUUCCUCUUGGCUAUGGCUUUAGCACAUUGUAAACACUAGACUGUAAAACUGACUCAAUUAUACACCUCGCAAGAGAGCUUA